UCGUGAUGGGGAUAGAUCAUUGCAAUUGUUGGUCUUCAACGAGGAAUGCCUAGUAAGCGCGAGUCAUCAGCUCGCGUUGACUACGUCCCUGCCCUUUGUACACACCGCCCGUCGCUCCUACCGAUUGAAUGGUCCGGUGAAGUGUUCRGAUCGYGGCGACUGGGGCGGUUCGCUGCCCCCGACGUCGCGAGAAGUCCAUUGAACCUUAUCAUUUAGAGGAAGGAGAAGUCGUAACAAGGUUUCCGUAGGUGAACCUGCGGAAGGAUCAUU
rnacentral:rRNA from 1 species